CAAGUACUCCCUCCGUCCGGAAUUACUUGUCAUCAAAAUGGAUGUGUCUAGAACUAAAAUACAUCUAGAUACAUCCAUUUCAAUGACAAGUAUUUUCGGACGGAGGGAGUACAA
rfam:Triticum aestivum genome assembly, contig: Triticum_aestivum_CS42_TGACv1_scaffold_139546_2BL